rnacentral:rRNA from 1 species
GCGGACAGAAGGGAGCUUGCUCCCGGAUGUUAGCGGCGGACGGGUGAGUAACACGUGGGUAACCUGCCUGUAAGACUGGGAUAACUCCGGGAAACCGGAGCUAAUACCGGAUAGUUCCUUGAACCGCAUGGUUCAAGGAUGAAAGACGGUUUCGGCUGUCACUUACAGAUGGACCCGCGGCGCAUUAGCUAGUUGGUGGGGUAAUGGCUCACCAAGGCGACGAUGCGUAGCCGACCUGAGAGGGUGAUCGGCCACACUGGGACUGAGACACGGCCCAGACUCCUACGGGAGGCAGCAGUAGGGAAUCUUCCGCAAUGGACGAAAGUCUGACGGAGCAACGCCGCGUGAGUGAUGAAGGUUUUCGGAUCGUAAAGCUCUGUUGUUAGGGAAGAACAAGUGCGAGAGUAACUGCUCGCACCUUGACGGUACCUAACCAGAAAGCCACGGCUAACUACGUGCCAGCAGCCGCGGUAAUACGUAUGUGGCAAGCGUUGUCCGGAAUUAUUGGGGCGUAAAGGGCUCGCAGGCGGUCUUCUUAAGUCUGAUGUGAAACCCCCCGGCUCAC